AUAAGACCAAGAACAGAUCUUAACAUAACGACGUACACAGACAAAGCUUUUACUAACAUCAAAGACCUGAGAUUGUACAACUCUACCAUAUUUGGAAGACAAUCGAUUAGACGCAAAGUCGUCUUGAUUACUGAUGGGAAGUCUUCAGAUCUUCAAAACACUUUAAGUCUAGCCACUGAGUUGAAGAGCAUUGGCAUACACAUCAUUACCAUCGGUAUUGGUAACGGCGUCCAGAGGUAUGAACUACAAGCCAUAGCUUCUUCUAACAAUGACACGUACUUUGUCUCCACGUAUGAUCAGCUGGUUGGCUACAGGACCCCUCUAAUCAACAAGAUUUGCUAUGAAAAUUCUCCGAUUUUCACUACAACUGUUGCUACUACAACAGUAACGACGACCGUGCCAGUGCCAGGUA